AUCACAAAGUCUGUGACAGGCCCCUCACGUGGGAAUUUUAUCAUCUCACAUCAUCACGGGAAGGAAUUUGAAGACUGAAUUUGGGAGUCUCAUGACCAUGUCACUGCCAUCAGCCACUCACAAAUCUGAACUCCUCAUGGUCUGUCACCGGGAGCUGAAGAGUUGCAAGCUUGCCAACUAACAAUGAAUUGAACUCCUUGAACUCUGAUGCAGAAAAGGACAAUUUUUCUCAAACUAUCCACCAUGGAUUAGUAUUAGCUUGGGGACAGAGGAACUGGUGUGGAGAUUUGUUAAAAAGUGCACAGUCCUAAGUCCUGGCUGAAACUUACUGCAUCAGCAGUUUUGGGAAUGGAAGCCCAGGAGGAGCCUUUUAAAAAUGCCUAAAUGAUUCUCAAGCACAUGCACUAAAAGGUGAAGACUACUUCUACAGAAAUAUGA